rnacentral:rRNA from 1 species
GACGUAGGAGGCGAGCGUUGUUCGGAAUUACUGGGCGUAAAGCGCGCGUAGGCGGCUUUGCAAGUCAGAGGUGAAAGCCUGGAGCUCAACUCCAGAACUGCCUUUGAAACUGCAUCGCUUGAAUCAUGGAGAGGUUAGUGGAAUUCCGAGUGUAGAGGUGAAAUUCGUAGAUAUUCGGAAGAACACCAGUGGCGAAGGCGACUAACUGGACAUGUAUUGACGCUGAGGUGCGAAAGCGUGGGGAGCAAACAGG